rnacentral:rRNA from 1 species
AUUGAACGCUGGCGGAAUGCUUUACACAUGCAAGUCGAACGGCAGCACGGACUUCGGUCUGGUGGCGAGUGGCGAACGGGUGAGUAAUACAUCGGAACGUGCCCAGUCGUGGGGGAUAACGUAGCGAAAGCUACGCUAAUACCGCAUACGAUCUAAGGAUGAAAGCGGGGGAUCGCAAGACCUCGCGCGAUUGGAGCGGCCGAUGGCAGAUUAGGUAGUUGGUGGGGUAAAGGCUCACCAAGCCGACGAUCUGUAGCUGGUCUGAGAGGACGACCAGCCACACUGGGACUGAGACACGGCCCAGACUCCUACGGGAGGCUGCAGUGGGGAAUCUUGCGCAAUGAGCGAAAGCUUGACGCAGCAACGCCGCGUGAGGGAAGACGGCCUUCGGGUUGUAAACCUCUUUCAGGGAAGAGUAAGGCUCGUGAGUUAAGAGCUCACCGGGUUGAAGGUAUUCCCAGAAGAAGCACCGGCUAACUACGUGCCAGCCGCCGCGGUAA